CUGUUUAUCAAAAACAUGUCUUUUAGAAAUUAAUUUAAAGUCUAACCUGCCCACUGAUUUUAUAUUUAAGGGCCGCAGUAUUUUGACUGUGCAAAGGUAGCAUAAUCAUUUGUCUUUUAAUUGAAGGCUGGAAUGAAUGGUUGAAUGAAGUAUUAACUGUCUCAUUUUUAUAAAUUAAGAAUUUAGCUUUUAAAUAAAAAGGUUUAAAUAAAAUUAAAAGACGAGAAGACCCUAUAGAUUUUUAUAUUGUAUUAAUUAAUAAUAAUAAGAAAUUAAUUUUAUUAUUAUUUAAUUUAAUAUUUGAUUGGGGUGAUUAAAAAAUUAAAAAAACUUUUUGUUUAUUAAACAUAAAUUAAUGAAUAAUUGAUCCAAUUUUAUUGAUUAAAAGAUUAAAUUACCUUAGGGAUAACAGCGUAAUUUUUUUAGAGAGUUCAUAUCGAUAAAAAAGAUUGCGACCUCGAUGUUGAAUUAAAGGUUAUUUUUAAAUGUAGUAGUUUAAAGUUUAAGUCUGUUCGACUUUUGAAUCUUUACAUGAUCUGAGUUAAAACCG
rnacentral:rRNA from 1 species